AUUGAAUGCUGGCGGCAUGCCUUACACAUGCAAGUCGAGCGGGGUUUUCGGACCUAGCGGCGGACGGGUGAGUAAUGCGUAGGAAGCUGCCCGAUAGAGGGGGAUACCAGUUGGAAACGACUGUUAAUACCGCAUAAUGUCUACGGACCAAAGUGUGGGACCUUCGGGCCACAUGCUAUCGGAUGCGCCUACGUGGGAUUAGCUAGUUGGUGAGGUAAUGGCUCACCAAGGCGACGAUCUCUAGCUGGUUUGAGAGGAUGAUCAGCCACACUGGAACUGAGACACGGUCCAGACUCCUACGGGAGGCAGCAGUGGGGAAUAUUGGACAAUGGGCGCAAGCCUGAUCCAGCCAUGCCGCGUGUGUGAAGAAGGCCUUCGGGUUGUAAAGCACUUUCAGCGAGGAGGAAGGGUGGUGUGUUAAUAGCACAUCAUUUUGACGUUACUCGCAGAAGAAGCACCGGCUAACUCUGUGCCAGCAGCCGCGGUAACAC
rnacentral:rRNA from 1 species